UGUUAUUUUGGCAGACUAGUGCGUUAGAUUUAGAAUCUUUUUAAGUAAAUUUAUUUUACAUAUAACA
rnacentral:tRNA from 1 species